rnacentral:rRNA from 1 species
CCUACGGGUGGCAGCAGUGAGGAAUAUUGGUCAAUGGACGAGAGUCUGAACCAGCCAAGUAGCGUGAAGGAUGACUGCCCUAUGGGUUGUAAACUUCUUUUAUAUGGGAAUAAAAUGUUCCACGUGUGGGAUUUUGUAUGUACCAUAUGAAUAAGGAUCGGCUAACUCCGUGCCAGCAGCCGCGGUAAUACGGAGGAUCCGAGCGUUAUCCGGAUUUAUUGGGUUUAAAGGGAGCGUAGGUGGAUUGUUAAGUCAGUUGUGAAAGUUUGCGGCUCAACCGUACAAGUGCAGUUGAAACUGGCAGUCUUGAGUACAGUAGAGGUGGGCGGAAGUCGUGGUGUAGCGGUGAAAUGCUUAGAUAUCACGAAGAACUCCGAUUGCGAAGGCAGUUCACUGGACUGCAACUGACACUGAGGCUCGAAAGUGUGGGUAUCAAACAGGAUUAGAUACCCGAGUAGUC